CAAUAGCGUAUAUUAAAGUUGUUGCAGUUAAAAAGCUCGUAGUUGGAUUUGUGGCGUACGGUGUGUUCCGGGCACUUGUUGUCUGAGUAACCUGCUGUUGCCAUCCUUGGGUGGAACCUGUGUGGCAUUAGGUUGUCGUGCAGUGGAUGCCCAUCAUUUACUGUGAAAAAAUUAGAGUGUUCAAAGCAGGCUUAUGCCGUUGAAUAUAUUAGCAUGGAAUAAUGAGAUAGGACUUUUUUGCUAUUUUGUUGGUUUGCGCAAAGAGGUAAUGAUUAAUAGGGACAGUUGGGGGUAUUCGUAUUCCAUUGUCAGAGGUGAAAUUCUUGGAUUUUUGGAAGACGAACUACUGCGAAAGCAUUUACCAAGGAUGUUUUCAUUAA
rnacentral:rRNA from 1 species